UGACUUAGCUGGUUAAAGCAUGGUGCUAAUAACACCAAGGUUGUGGGUUCAACCCCCAU
rnacentral:tRNA from 1 species